AGCUUUGCGCAGUGGCAGUAUCGUAGCCAACGAGGUUUAUCCGAGGCGCGAUUAUUGCUAAUUGAAAUUACCAAGAAUACAUUCCUCUGGAAUAGCAUUUCUACACAUUUUUUAUAGGC
ensembl:snRNA U4 U4 spliceosomal RNA